rnacentral:rRNA from 1 species
AGAGUUUGAUCCUGGCUCAGGACGAACGCUGGCGGCGUGCUUAACACAUGCAAGUCGAGCGGGGAGGGCUCUUCGGGGGUACCCAAGCGGCAAACGGGUGAGUAACACGGGGGUGACCGGCCCUCAGCUCUGGGAUAAGCCUGGAAAACUGGGUCUAAUACCGGAUAUAACCUUUCCUCAAAUGGGGUUUGGUGGAAAGUUUUUUCGGCUGGGGAUGGGCCCGCGGCCUAUCAGCUUGUUGGUGGGGUGAUGGCCUACCAACGAUACGACGGGUAGCCGGCCUGAUAAGGCGACCGGCUGCACUGGAACUGAGACCCGGACUCCACUCCUACGGGAGGCAGCGGAGUUUAAUAUUGCGCAAUGAGCGGAAACCUGACGCAGCCACGCCGAGUGGGGGAUGACGGCCAUCGGGUUGUAAACCUCUUUCGACCCCGACGAAUUUGGACGGUAGGGGUAGAAGAAGAUUCGGCCAACUACGUGCCACCCGCCUAACUAACUCCCAGGGUGCGAGCGUUGUCCGGAAUUAUUGGGCGUAUUGAGAUCUAUUGGGGUGUGUCGCGUCGGCCGUGAAAUCUUGAGGGCUUAGCUCUGAGCUUGCGGUCUAUACGAGCAUCUCUGUGUCUCACUGUGAGGCACUGGACUUCCUGGUGUAACGGGAAAUAUGAGUGAUAUCGGGAGGAACACCGAUGGGGGAAGGCAGGUCUCUGGGCCGAUACUGACGCUGAGGAGCGACUGACUGGGGAGCGAACAAGAUUAGAUACCCUGCUAGUCCACGCCCCAUGGGUUGGGCCCUCGGUGUGGGGGGCCAUUCCAGGGUCUCUGUGCUGCACCUCUCGUAUUAAGCACCCCACCUGGUAAGUACUGCCGCCAGGGCUAAACCUCAAAGGAACUGACGC